GAGGGUAUAGCUCAGUGGUAGAGGGACUGCCUAGCAUGCCCAAGGUCCUGGGUUCAAUCCCCAGUACCUCCU
rnacentral:tRNA from 1 species